UACAGAGGUCUCAAGCGUUGUUCGGAUUCAUUGGGCGUAAAGGGUGCGUAGGCGGCGCGGUAAGUCGGGUGUGAAAUCUCGGAGCUUAACUCCGAAACUGCAUUCGAUACUGCCGUGCUUGAGGACUGGAGAGGAGACUGGAAUUUACGGUGUAGCGGUGAAAUGCGUAGAUAUCGUAAGGAAGACCAGUGGCGAAGGCGGGUCUCUGGACAGUUCCUGACGCUGAGGAGCGAAAGUGUGGGGAGCGAACAGG
rnacentral:rRNA from 1 species